rnacentral:rRNA from 1 species
CCUACGGGAGGCAGCAGUAGGGAAUCUUCCACAAUGGACGAAAGCCUGAUGGAGCAACGCCGCGUGGGUGAAGAAGGUCUUCGGAUCGUAAAAACCUGUUGUGAGAGAAGAAAGUGCGUGAGAGUAACGGUUCACGUUUCGACGGUAUCUAACCAGAAAGCCACGGCUAACUACGUGCAAGCAGCCGCGGUUAUACGAAGGUGGCAAGCGUUAUCCGGAUUUAUUGGGCGUAAAGGGAACGCAGGCGGUCUUUUAAGUCUGAUGUGAAAGCCUUCGGCUUAACCGGAGUAGUGCAUUGGAAACUUGGAGACUUUAGUGCAGAAGAGGAGAGUGGAACUCCAUGUGUAGCUGUUAAAUGCGUAGAUAUAUGGAAGAACACCAGUGGCGAAAGCGGCUCUCUGGUCUGUAACUGACGCUGAGGUUCGAAAGCGUGGGUAGCAAACAGGAUUAGAUACCCUGGUAGUC